rnacentral:rRNA from 1 species
UACAGAGGGUGCAAGCGUUAAUCGGAAUUACUGGGCGUAAAGCGUGCGUAGACGGUUAUGUAAGUCGGGUGUGAAAGCCCCGGGCUCAACCUGGGAAUUGCAUUGGAUACUGGCAGGCUAGAGUGCGGUAGAGGAUGGCGGAAUUCCCGGUGUAGCAGUGAAAUGCGUAGAGAUCGGGAGGAACAUCUGUGGCGAAGGCGGCCAUCUGGACCAGCACUGACACUGAGGCACGAAAGCGUGGGGAGCAAACAGG